rnacentral:rRNA from 1 species
AGAUUGAACGCUGGCGGCAUGCCUUACACAUGCAAGUCGAACGGCAGCACGGGAGCAAUCCUGGUGGCGAGUGGCGAACGGGUGAGUAAUACAUCGGAACGUGCCCAAUCGUGGGGGAUAACGCAGCGAAAGCUGUGCUAAUACCGCAUAAGAUCUACGGAUGAAAGCAGGGGAUCGACAAGACCUUGCGCGAAUGGAGCGGCGAUGGCAGAUUAGGUAGUUGG